GUGGGGAAUUUUUGGCAAUGGGCGAAAGCCUGACCAAGCAACGCCGCGUGGAUGAUGAAGUAUUUCGGUACGUAAAAUCCUUUCGACGGGGACGAAGCCGCAAGGUUGACGGUACCCGUAGAAGAAGCCCCGGCUAACUCCGUGCCAGCAGCCGCGGUAAUACGGGGGGGGCAAGCGUUGUUCGGAAUUACUGGGCGUAAAGGGCGCGUAGGCGGCUCGCUAAGUUGGAUGUGAAAACUCUGGGCUUAACCCAGAGCCUGCAUUCAAAACUGACGAGCUAGAGUUCUGGAGGGGAUAGCGGAAUUCCUGGUGUAGCGGUGAAAUGCGUAGAUAUCAGGAGGAACACCGGUGGCGAAGGCGGCUAUCUGGACAGAAACUGACGCUGAGGCGCGAAAGCUAGGGGAGCAAACAGGAUUAGAAACCCGAGUAGUCC
rnacentral:rRNA from 1 species